GUCUAUGGCCAUACCACCCUGAACGCGCCUGAUCUCGUCUGAUCUCGGAAGCUAAGCAGGGUCGGGCCUGGUUACUACUUGGAUGGGAGAACUUAAAACUAUUUCCU
rfam:Homo sapiens chromosome 19, GRCh38 reference primary assembly.